UGCCAUGAUGUUGUAAUUUGCGCCUUACUCAACACUAAGCGACAGUUGCCUUCUGUCUUUAUGCUAGUGUGGAUGGCUGAUGAGUAAUUAAUUUCUGAGCA